UCGGUUUCGGGUUACUCGGUUU
rnacentral:siRNA from 1 species